rnacentral:rRNA from 1 species
GAUGAACGCUAGCGGCAGGCUUAACACAUGCAAGUCGAGGGGCAGCAUGAGACGGAGAUUCGUCGAAGUCUUGAUGGCGACCGGCGCAAGGGUGCGUAACGCGUGAGCAACUUGCCCGUUUCUGGGGAAUAACCGGUGGAAACGCCGACUAAUACCCCAUAGUAUGUUUUUAAGGCAUCUUUUAAACAUUAAAGAAUUUCGGAAACGGAUAGGCUCGCGUGACAUUAGCUAGAUGGCGGGGUAACGGCCCACCAUGGCGACGAUGUCUAGGGGUUCUGAGAGGAAGGUCCCCCACACUGGAACUGAGACACGGUCCAGACUCCUACGGGAGGCAGCAGUGAGGAAUAUUGGUCAAUGGUCUGACGACUGAACCAGCCAUGCCGCGUGAAGGUCACGGCCCUAUGGGGUCUUAAAACUUCUUUUUGUAAGGGAGCAAUAAGUCUCACGUGUGGGAUGAUGAGAGUACCUUACGAAUAAGCAUCGGCUAACUCCGUGCCAGCAGCCGACGG